GGCGAUGCCCAGAGAUCAGGAAACAGAACAGAAUGCAGCUACAGCCUGCAGGAUUUCCGCUCUCACCUGAGACAGAGUCUGUGUGGGCUGCCGCAGAGCAGCUCAGCAGAGGGCUCUGGGUGCAAACUCUGCCCCAGGCACUGGGUGCCGCACAUGGACAAGUGCUACUGGCUGUCGGAAGAGAAUCAGUACUGGAGCUGGGGCCGUGAUGACUGCUCAUGGAGGGGAUCUCACCUGCUCGUGAUCCAGGACCGGGAGGAGCUGGAGUUCACACAGAAUCUUACAGGAAAUCAAAAUCCGGUGUGGAUUGGACUCAACAUCACCUCCCCAGGGAGGAAGUGGACCUGGGUGGAUGGUUCCCCGUUAAAUCAAACACUGUGAGUGAUUCCUGAUUAGUAUUUGACAUCAGUCUGCAAUAAAUACAUAGUGUGAAACCCUGGGCCCCAUUAAAGUCAAUGGCAAAUCUGCUGUUGACCUCCAUGGGGCAAGGAUUUCAUCCAUUACAUCUUACAGUGUAAGGGCCUCGAUCCUGCAGACACACCUGGGGUAAGUCUCAUAGAAGUGAAUGGCAGUAUGCAUGGGAGGAAAUCAAAGCAAGUGCAUAAAGG